rnacentral:rRNA from 1 species
UCGGGAAUUUUGGGCAAUGGGCGAAAGCCUGACCCAGCAACGCCGCGUGAAGGAUGAAGUAUUUCGGUAUGUAAACUUCGUAAGAAUAGGAAGAAUAAAUGACGGUACUAUUUGUAAGGUCCGGCUAACUACGUGCCAGCAGCCGCGGUAAUACGUAGGGACCAAGCGUUGUUCGGAUUUACUGGGCGUAAAGGGCGCGUAGGCGGUGUGUCAAGUCAGUUGUGAAAUCUCCGAGCUUAACUCGGAACGGUCAACUGAUACUGUCACACUAGAGUACAGAAGGGGCAAUCGGAAUUCUUGGUGUAGCGGUGAAAUGCGUAGAUAUCAAGAGGAACACCUGAGGCGAAGGCGGGUUGCUGGGCUGAUACUGACGCUGAGGCGCGAAAGCCAGGGGAGCAAACGGGAUUAGAUACCCAUGUAGUCCCUGAGCGGGCUGGCAAGGCGCAU